GGGUUCGAUUCUGGCUCAGAUUGAACGCUGGCGGGAUGCUUUACACAUGCAAGUCGAACGGCAGCACGGACUUCGGUCUGGUGGCACGAAGGCGGCGAACGGGUAGGUAAUGUAUCGGAACGUGCCUAGUAGCGGGGGAUAACUACGCGAAAGCGUAGCUAUUACCGCAUACGCCCUUCGGGGAAAGCGGGGGACCUUCGGGCCUCGCACUAUUAGAGCGGCCGAUAUCGGAUUAGCUAGUUGGUGGGGUAACGGCUCCGCCAGGCGGUGAUCCAUGGCUUCUGGUUUGAGAGACCGACCAGCCACACUGGGACUGAGACACGGCCCGAACUCCUGCGGGCAGCAGUGGGGGAAUUUACGGACAAUGGAAACCCUGAUCCAGCCAUCCCGCGUGUGCGAUGAAGGCCUUCCGGGUUGUAAAGCACUUUUGGCGGAAAAACAGCACGGGAUAAUACCCCGUGCAACUGACGUACCUGCAGAAUAAGCACCGGUAACUACGUGCCCAGCCGCGGUAAUACGUAGGGUGCAAGCGUUAAUCGGAAUUACUGGGCGUAAAGCGUGCGCAGGCGGUUCGGAAAGAAAGAUGUGGAAUCCCAGAGCUUAACUUUGGAACUGCAUUUUCUCCCCAGCUGAAGUGUGUCAGAGGAGGUGGAAUUCCGCGUGUAGUGAAAUGCGUGAUAUGCGGAGGAACACGCCGUGGCGAAAGGCAGCCUCCUGGGAUAACACUGACGCUCAUGCACGUAAAUGGGGAGCAAACAGGAUUAGAUACCCUGAAGUGAAGUCCACGCCCUAAACGAUGUCAACUAGCUGUUGGGGCCUUCGGGCCUUGGUAGCGCAGCUAACGCGUGAAGUUGACCACCUGGGAAGUGCAGUCGCAAGAUUAAAACUCAAGGAAUUGACAGGACCACAGCGGUGGAUGAUGUGGAUUAAUUCGAUGCAACGCGAAAAACCUUACCUACCCUUGACAUGUCUGGAAUCCCGAAGAGGCCCGGAGGUGCUCAUGAGAACCGGAACACAGGUGCUGCAUGGCUGUCGUCAGCUCGUGUCGUGAGAUGUUGGGUUAGUCGCAACGGGCGCAACCAUGUCGUCGUUGCUACGAAAGGGCACUCUAAUGGAACUGCCAGUACGUCUGGCAAACGGAGGAAGGUGGGGAUGACGUCAAGUCCUCAUGGCCCUUAUGGGUGAGGGCUUCACACGUCAUACAAUGGUCGGGACAGAGGGUCGCCAACCCGCGAGGGGAGCCAAUCCCAGAAACCGAUCUGUAGUCCGGAUCGCAGUCUGCAACUCGACUGCGUGAGAAGUCGGAAUCUCGCUAGUAAUCGCGGAUCGGCAUGUCGCGGUGACCGUUCCAGGUCUUGCCCCUGCCAAUACACCAUGGGAGUGGGUUUUACCAGUGGUUAGCUAACCGUAAGGAGGGCGAUUACCACGGUAGGAUUCAUGACAGGGUGAGGUCGUAACAAGGUAG
rnacentral:rRNA from 1 species